rnacentral:misc_RNA from 1 species
GAUGAAGAACGUAGCGAAAUGCGAUACGUAAUGUGAAUUGCAGAAUUCAGUGAAUCAUCGAAUCUUUGAACGCAUAUUGCGCUCUCUGGUAUUCCGGAGAGCAUGCUUGUUUGAGUAUCAGUAAACACCUCAACUUCCAUAUCUUUUUUGAAAUGGGAGUUGGACUUGAGUGAUCCCAACGCUUUUCCUCACCGAAAAGUGGCGGGUUACUUGAAAUGCAGGUGCAGCUGGACUUUUCUCUGAGCUAUAAGCAUAUCUAUUCAGUCUGCCUAAAAAACAGAUUAUUACCUUUGCUGCAGCUAACAUAAAGGAGAUUAGUUCUUGUGCUGACUGAUGCAGGAUUCACAAAGACAGGCUUCGGCCGACUUUGUAAACUCGAUCUCAAAUCAAGUAAGACUACCCGCUGAACUUAAGCAUAUCAAUAAGCGGAGGA